rnacentral:piRNA from 1 species
UCUAGCAGCUGGUAUUUGCCUUUCAAU